GGGUUGUGAGGUUAAGCGACUAAGCGUACACGGUGGAUGCCCUGGCAGUCAGAGGCGAUGAAGGACGUGCUAAUCUGCGAUAAGCGCCGGUAAGGUGAUAUGAACCGUUAUAACCGGCGAUUUCCGAAUGGGGAAACCCAGUGUGAUUCGUCACACUAUCAUUAACUGAAUCCAUAGGUUAAUGAGGCGAACCGGGGGAACUGAAACAUCUAAGUACCCCGAGGAAAAGAAAUCAACCGAGAUUCCCCCAGUAGCGGCGAGCGAACGGGGAGGAGCCCAGAGCCUGAAUCAGCAUGUGUGUUAGUGGAAGCGUCUGGAAAGGCGCGCGAUACAGGGUGACAGCCCCGUACACAAAAGCGCAUGUGCUGUGAGCUCGAUGAGUAGGGCGGGACACGUGGUAUCCUGUCUGAAUAUGGGGGGACCAUCCUCCAAGGCUAAAUACUCCUGACUGACCGAUAGUGAACCAGUACCGUGAGGGAAAGGCGAAAAGAACCCCGGCGAGGGGAGUGAAAAAGAACCUGAAACCGUGUACGUACAAGCAGUGGGAGCACCCUUCGGGGUGUGACUGCGUACCUUUUGUAUAAUGGGUCAGCGACUUAUAUUCUGUAGCAAGGUUAACCGUAUAGGGGAGCCGGAGGGAAACCGAGUCUUAAUUGGGCGUUAAGUUGCAGGGUAUAGACCCGAAACCCGGUGAUCUAGCCAUGGGCAGGUUGAAGGUUGGGUAACACUAACUGGAGGACCGAACCGACUAAUGUUGAAAAAUUAGCGGAUGACCUGUGGCUGGGGGUGAAAGGCCAAUCAAACCGGGAGAUAGCUGGUUCUCCCCGAAAGCUAUUUAGGUAGCGCCUCGUGAAUUCAUCUCCGGGGGUAGAGCACUGUUUCGGCUAGGGGGCCAUCCCGGCUUACCAACCCGAUGCAAACUGCGAAUACCGGAGAAUGUUAUCACGGGAGACACACGGCGGGUGCUAACGUCCGUCGUGAAGAGGGAAACAACCCAGACCGCCAGCUAAGGUCCCAAAGUCAUGGUUAAGUGGGAAACGAUGUGGGAAGGCCCAGACAGCCAGGAUGUUGGCUUAGAAGCAGCCAUCAUUUAAAGAAAGCGUAAUAGCUCACUGGUCGAGUCGGCCUGCGCGGAAGAUGUAACGGGGCUAAACCAUGCACCGAAGCUGCGGCAGCGAACGUAUCACCCAAGACAACUUUACGGAGUUGACGAUUGACGGAGCGAAGCGACGUCAAAGCGUUCAUUAAAGUCGAGUUGGCUUAGGGAUACGUUCGUUGGGUAGGGGAGCGUUCUGUAAGCCUGUGAAGGUGUGUCGUGAGGCAUGCUGGAGGUAUCAGAAGUGCGAAUGCUGACAUAAGUAACGAUAAAGCGGGUGAAAAGCCCGCUCGCCGGAAGACCAAGGGUUCCUGUCCAACGUUAAUCGGGGCAGGGUGAGUCGACCCCUAAGGCGAGGCCGAAAGGCGUAGUCGAUGGGAAACGGGUUAAUAUUCCCGUACUUGGUGUUACUGCGAAGGGGGGACGGAGAAGGCUAUGUUGGCCGGGCGACGGUUGUCCCGGUUUAAGCGUGUAGGUGUGUGUUCCAGGUAAAUCCGGUUCACUUUAACACUGAGGCGUGACGACGAGGCACUACGGUGCUGAAGCAACAAAUGCCCUGCUUCCAGGAAAAGCCUCUAAGCAUCAGGUAACACGAAAUCGUACCCCAAACCGACACAGGUGGUCAGGUAGAGAAUACCAAGGCGCUUGAGAGAACUCGGGUGAAGGAACUAGGCAAAAUGGUGCCGUAACUUCGGGAGAAGGCACGCUGACACGUAGGUGAAGUGAUUUACUCAUGGAGCUGAAGUCAGUCGAAGAUACCAGCUGGCUGCAACUGUUUAUUAAAAACACAGCACUGUGCAAACACGAAAGUGGACGUAUACGGUGUGACGCCUGCCCGGUGCCGGAAGGUUAAUUGAUGGGGUCAGCGCAAGCGAAGCUCCUGAUCGAAGCCCCGGUAAACGGCGGCCGUAACUAUAACGGUCCUAAGGUAGCGAAAUUCCUUGUCGGGUAAGUUCCGACCUGCACGAAUGGCGUAAUGAUGGCCAGGCUGUCUCCACCCGAGACUCAGUGAAAUUGAACUCGCUGUGAAGAUGCAGUGUACCCGCGGCAAGACGGAAAGACCCCGUGAACCUUUACUAUAGCUUGACACUGAACAUUGAGCCUUGAUGUGUAGGAUAGGUGGGAGGCUUUGAAGUGUGGACGCCAGUCUGCAUGGAGCCGACCUUGAAAUACCACCCUUUAAUGUUUGAUGUUCUAACGUGGACCCGUAAUCCGGGUUGCGGACAGUGUCUGGUGGGUAGUUUGACUGGGGCGGUCUCCUCCUAAAGAGUAACGGAGGAGCACGAAGGUUGGCUAAUCCUGGUCGGACAUCAGGAGGUUAGUGCAAUGGCAUAAGCCAGCUUGACUGCGAGCGUGACGGCGCGAGCAGGUGCGAAAGCAGGUCAUAGUGAUCCGGUGGUUCUGAAUGGAAGGGCCAUCGCUCAACGGAUAAAAGGUACUCCGGGGAUAACAGGCUGAUACCGCCCAAGAGUUCAUAUCGACGGCGGUGUUUGGCACCUCGAUGUCGGCUCAUCACAUCCUGGGGCUGAAGUAGGUCCCAAGGGUAUGGCUGUUCGCCAUUUAAAGUGGUACGCGAGCUGGGUUUAGAACGUCGUGAGACAGUUCGGUCCCUAUCUGCCGUGGGCGCUGGAGAACUGAGGGGGGCUGCUCCUAGUACGAGAGGACCGGAGUGGACGCAUCACUGGUGUUCGGGUUGUCAUGCCAAUGGCACUGCCCGGUAGCUAAAUGCGGAAGAGAUAAGUGCUGAAAGCAUCUAAGCACGAAACUUGCCCCGAGAUGAGUUCUCCCUGAGACUUAGAGUCUCCUGAAGGAACGUUGAAGACGACGACGUUGAUAGGCCGGGUGUGUAAGCGCAGCGAUGCGUUGAGCUAACCGGUACUAAUGAACCGUGAGGCUUAACCUUACA
rnacentral:rRNA from 1 species